ensembl:lncRNA
AUGUAUGGCGGAACGAAGGGGAAGGACCCGCUCCACAGUGGGACCGGUGUCUUCUACCAGGCAAUACCUGCCGUCGGGGCCGAUGGCAGAAACAUCAUGAAACUGAUUCCUGUACAAAUGGUCAAUGGACACGUUUUCAAAUCUCAAAUAAGCCCCCUCAAAACCGAUGCUACACAACCAAAAGCGUUAUCGUGGAAUAUCGCCUCAGCACCAGUUGUCUUAGUAAACAAGACUUCUUCAGUUUCUUCUGCAACAGAGCGGAUCGUCAGCGAACAGGUUUCACUCGUGGGUUCGUCCCCUUAUGAAGUCGGUUUGGAUCCUGGUAAUUCACCCAACAAGCAUCCACGACAGCAACUACAACAGAGUGUCAAAACGUUGGCAGUUGUUCCUUCAAAGGCUUCACCUGCACACAGUGGAAACUCCGUAGGACCUCCAAGUCAGCUCCCAGUCCCAGUGCAUUCUCCAGCAGCCCCCCGAAGCCGGGGCACUGAGGUUCUCCCUACAGUCCCUGCAUCAACACUGCCUGCAGGUAUCUGGAAACAGACAUUCACUUCGUCAGCCAGCUGCUGUCCAGGUUCACACUUACCCUCGUCACCAACCACAAGUACGGAUGGAGGCGUUACUCCACAAAGGGAUUCUGCACUCAAUGCGCUCAAGUUGCUUUGCAAAAUAACAAAUACGACAUCAUGCGCACCACCAUCAAAAGGAUCAAAAUCACAUUUCAAUUUAAUUCCAAAGGUUCCACAAAGCCCCAACAGCCCUAAAAAGUGGUCCAUUGAAGAUAACAGCUCAACAGCUCCAACCCUUAAUCCUUUUUAUUCGUCUGUUACUUCAAAGAUUUUGCGAGUUCUCGCAGAGAGAGGAAAUGCUGGGAAGCCCUGUGAAAUUCUUCCAAAACCAGGUCCAACUCUUGGUUCUACAAAUCCCUCCUUUGCCUCAGAGAUUCUUCGAGAAAGAGAAAAGGCCAGAAAGGACUCUGAAGUCAUCACUAAAUCUAUUACUGAGUCAGGUCCGGGGAACAGUGGAGAAGAAAAGGCCAACGUCAUAGACCCGUGCAACAGGAAGCAACCACCACAACAGAGUGUACAUUUAAUGGCCGUAACACCCUUAGCUAACGGGGGAAAUACUGGACCUCUGAAUGAUCGUCAUGUCGCUCUGACAUCUCCAACGCCCCCCAGAGGACAGUGGCCUCACACUACCCCUAAGGCACAAUUGUGGGCACUCCCAGCAUCUGAACGGCGUGCAGCUAUAAAGAAACCGACUUUUACUCCGUCAGCCACCUCCUGUCCAAGCUCAGCAUGUGCGGUCUCCAUGCCACUUAUCGCAAGUGUCAAUCAAGGUGCUCCAAGGGAUUCUGCACUUGAUACGUCUAAGUGGCUGUGCAAGACCGCAAAUAAAACAUCAACCGGUUCAGAACCAAAUUUAAAAUUAGUUCCAACGGUUCCACAAAGCCCCAACAGCCCUAUACAGUGGUCAGUUGAAGAAGGCAACUCGACAGCUCCAACUCUUGAUCCUUUUGAUUCUUCUGUGGCGUCAGAGAUUCCUCCAGUGGCUGCCGAGAGAGAGAACGCUGGGAAGCUCUGUGAGGUCGUUGGGAACUGGGUCUGCGGGUCGAGUCAGGGCAAAAACGGACAAAGACAGGAGAACCCUUUGGUAUUGUGUGAUGGAAAGCUUUUUUUUUGGGCCAAAAAUCACAUGCUGCCACAUAAAAAUGGAAAAAUGGAUCCAACCAUAGUAGCAGGAAAAAGUUACGAAUCAGACAAAGCCAUUGUAGCUUCAACCCAACAGUCAGUUCCACCUGUGGAGAAGCCGGGCCAUGGAGUCCUCCACCCAGAUCCGUGGCGCCAAGUGAUUGACCUUUGUGACGACGACGACGCUGCUCCGAACGACUCGUUUCAACAAGCAGCUUCAGUUUGUGUGCCAGCAGUCACUGUUGUGGAUGAAGACAAUGUUAUAUUUGUAUCCUACACUCCACCCAACUCUGACUCUCAAGAUUUGAGACGAAAAUUACAAAUGGCUCAAAUAGAGGAACCGGACCAGACGGCCACAAGCAAUGUAACCGAACAAGAGCGCAUGCACGGUACGCCCGGCGCUCUCAGAGAGGAGGAACUUGGCCACAGCACGUCGGUCAACGACAGCCAGCAGCCCACCUCAGCCCAACAGAUGGAGCAUGUUAACCCCAGCAACGAGGGAACCCGCUCCAGGACGGACCGAGACCCCCACAUCAUUGAGAGCUCUACGACCUGUGGAACAUCUGGACUGGUACCAGAAUCCUGUCGAAGGACCGAUGAUCUGCUGAGACGGAUUUCUGGGAUAACCGCCGAUGUGAGAAUUUGUCUCCAGAGGAUAGACGAAGCCUCAGCCGCGUCUCUUCCUGCGGAACCUCCAACGAGUGAGUGCAUCCGGUUAGUGCAGGAUCAUAAAGACACAACAAGCAGGCUUAAAGAAAGAGAACUGUUAUUGCAGCACCUUUACAGCCAACGAGGAACUGAAAGCGGCAAUGGUCUCCUCAACGUACUACCCAAACCGGACUUAUCCAAAGGUUCAUCCACUGCGAGUCCUCACACGGAUGCUGGUCCCCCAGAAUGUUCACAUGUUAAAGUGAACACCAACCCUUCGCCUGAGGGAACGUGUGCUGGCGUAGAAUUGAAACCAAUGAUUGGCUACGUGGAGCCCAUAGAUGAGGAUUUCCUCAGCGCCGAUGAGAAUGACUUCUCCUACCCACUGGACACAGCUGGCCACCCUCAGACCUGUGCGGAUCUGAACGCUGACACAAGGAGACUGGGAAGGAAAAGGAAGCGGCCAACGUGUCCAUGUUGCAUCGCCGGCACUCAAGAUCCCACAGCGAGGUCCAGUGCAAAGUCGGAGGAGCCCGAGAAGUGGGCGGGGAUGACGGAGAAGACUGGUAAGAAAGUGGGAAGAGCCAAGGCCUUGGCCAAAGACUUGAAAACAUCCAGAGGCGUCACCUGUCUCACAGUCAAGAACAAGCACAGCUGCAGGCCGCCGGAGGAGGCAGCUGGGGAGAGGUUAACCUCGACGCCCACGGACUCCGAUGAAGUCCAACUGCACGAGCAGAUCACAAGACUCAGGGAGCUUCUGCAAGAGAAAGAGGCGGCUUUAGAGCUCAUGAGAACCAACAUUUCAAACCCUAACAAAGUGCUGCGGAAGUAUCCGUCCUCCAAUCCACCCUCACUUUGA